UCCACCCCUCCUUUCAAACUCCUCUGGCAAGAAGGGACUCCUAUUGUGUGCAUAAUAUUUUUAAAGUUGAAAAUAUUUCCUGUCAAGAUGCUUUUUGGACAAGCCAAAGCAAAGAUGUGGAGCCUUCAAAACCUGCUUUUCAUCCUCUGCAAAAGACACAGUGAGGUGUGGAAGAAGAAUCAUGAGGCAGCGGCCCAUGCAGGGAUAGAAAAGACACUGUCCAAGAUACGUCACUUCUUUAUUGGCCCAGCAUGGAAGAUGAGAUUUAUGGAAAUCAAGAAUUUGUGGUGACCUUCAAACAGCAAAGCGCCUUGAACCACUUUGAUGAUCCAGGCGGAGAUGAACCAGAUUAAGAAAACAUUACAACUGAAGAAUUCUACUGCAAUGAAAAUUACCAUAAAGCUCACAGAAGAUAAUUGUAUGCAGAUCCUGUUUGAUUCAUCCUUAACACGAAGUGCUCAACAAUGUACUGCUGUUGCUCAACAUUGUCACUGUGAUCCAUACUUCAUUAUUGUCAUGAAAAACAUCCUGUGAAUAUUUAUAGAUUAAAUUCAUACACUUUUACACUAGGUUGGCUUUCAUUUUUAUUUCUUAGGAUCUUAGGAUCUGCACUGUUUUGUCAACUUAUGUAAACCUGCACUACAUUUUUUUGACACAUAGUUACUAGAUGCUUUCUCGAGCAAGAUUUUACAGAUAAAAGCAAACGGACUGUGC